rnacentral:rRNA from 1 species
UACGUAGGGUGCAAGCGUUGUCCGGAAUUAUUGGGCGUAAAGCGCACGCAGGCGGUCUGUUAAGUUUGACGUGAAAGCUCCCGGCUUAACUGGGAGAGGUCGUUGAAGACUGGCAGACUUGAGGCGAUGAGAGGGGUGUAGAAUUCCCGGUGUAGUGGUGGAAUGCGUAGAUAUCGGGGGGAAUACCAGUGGCGAAAGCGGCACCCUAGCGUUAGCCUGACGCUCAUGUGCGAAAGCGUGGGGAGCGAACGGG